AUACGUAGGGGGCGAGCGUUGUCCGGAUUUACUGGGCGUAAAGGGUGAGUGGGUGGUUAUGUAUGUCAGGUGUAAAAGGCGUAGGCUUAACUUACGUUAGCACUUGAAACUGCAUAACUUGAGUGCAGGAGAGGUAAGUGGAAUUUCUAGUGUAGCGGUGAAAUGCGUAGAUAUUAGGAGGAACACCAGUGGCGAAGGCGACUUACUGGACUGUAACUGACGCUGAGUCACGAAAGCGUGGGUAGC
rnacentral:rRNA from 1 species